AAAAACAUGGCUCUUUGAUUAUAUAAAUAUAAAGAGUCGGACCUGCCCGGUGAAAAUUUUUAACGGCCGCGGUACUCUGACCGUGCAAAGGUAGCAUAAUCAUUUGCCUUAUAAUUGAAGGCUAGUAUGAACGGUUUGACGAGAACAACACUGUCUCCUUUUUAUUUUCAAGAAUUUAACUUUUAGGUGAAGAGGCCUAAAUUUCAUUGAAGGACAAGAAGACCCUGUCGAGCUUAAAAGACACUGUAGAAUCUUAUAUGUUUUCAAAUAAAUUUUCUAUUAAGCUUUUUAGUUGGGGCGACUAAGGAACAAAAAAAGCUUCUUAAAAAUAACAGACAGUCAUGUUUAGAUCCAAUAAAAUUGAUCAAAGAAAUUAGUUACCGCAGGGAUAACAGCAUAAUCUCUCUUGAGAGACCUAAUCGAAAGAGGGGGUUGUGACCUCGAUGUUGGACUAGAAUAUCCUAAAGAUGCAGAAGUCUUUUGAAGGUCGGUCUGUUCGACCGUUAAAAUUCUACGUGAUCUGA
rnacentral:rRNA from 1 species